rnacentral:lncRNA from 1 species
ACGAUACAACUACGGUCCUACUCUUUUAACAACCUGGUCAACUGGGGGCAGAUUGAACCAGCAGCUGGUUGACGAUGGGCACCGGAUGGGCGGCGGGUUGAAGAGCUUGGCUAGCUGUUGCAUUGAGCGAUCGGUCGAUCUGGUUAGGAUUCAGUCUUGCGGCAUAAACAUAUUCCAACUCGAAGAAUGGCACGCGACUGGGAAACAUGGUAAACAAGACACGGAUUAACACAAUUAGAAAUGUGAGUACCAGAAUAAAACGUAGAGCUACCAGGAUUGAGAAACUGCUUACGUCCUAACUGAU